CAAUUCUCUGUGAAUUGUGUUGCU
rnacentral:siRNA from 1 species